GUGUUUCUCUCAUGUUGAACAUGAUAUGAACAGUGUUCUUUGGAAAGGCUUUCAGAUCAUUCGACUACUUUAAAUCAUGAAGAUCCUCCUAGGGAAUGAAAACUCAGUACCGAGUCCUUUUUUCGAUGCUGAUAAUGAAUCUAUCGUUUUGUCGCUCAAGCCCAAUCUCGAGUCCAGAAUAUUUCAGUGAGGACUUGUACAAUGAGAUAGAAGACAGUUUGUUUGAAGGGAAGGAUCCGAAAAAAUUGUUUACAUUACCUUCAACAGUGAAUCCACCUAUUUCAACGGUGAGCACUAGUCAAAUUGCCUUGGCCUCAACCACUCAAAGGUUACAAACCGAAGUGGCUAGAAAACAGCUCGUAAGGAAGAUGUCAAAUCUCAACAACAAGGCUAAAGAGAUUGACAACCAUGACGAUUAUUCAUCAACUUCAUCUAUUUCCGCCCCAUCUGAAAAUUCAUUCAACGAAGAUUGGAAGCCAGCAAUAUUCAUUGAAGAUGCAGGACGUUUUGAAAAAUGGAACGCUUCGUGAAAGAGGCCAAAAAAGAGGUUUUUGUUCCUAAGUCAAACUGGCAGAAAUGAGCCAAACUCAGCAAGAGAACAGUAUAUGUAGAAAGAAAAACAAAAUAAUGCUAAAAUCAGGGGCAAUGCUAACAUUGCUGACAACAUAAUGUUAAGUUUUCAUUAACAAUAGUAUCAAGGUUUGAAAAAGUCUUCUGUAAAAAAAAAGAAAAUUUUAACGUAGGAAAAUUAAGUCGAAAACCAGUGUUUUAGGCCAAAAAGUUCUUUAAGCAUGUUAAAGAGUAAAACUCUGACAGUGUAUUAGAUUGCAAUCUUACAUGAACCAUUCCUUUUUAUGAAUAAAUGAAUUGGAACUCUGAUUUAA